UUCGUUUAGUUAUAGUAACUCGUCUAGUGUUAUCUAGGAUCGUUCCAAGGUUGUAACCCAUGUCUAUUUUGCUUGUUUUGUUUUUCAAACCCUUUCACCGUCUGUCUAAUGCAAUCUCAUAUUUUCUGUUAUUUCUAGUUAUUUUUGUUUAGUUCUCUUUUCCUUUUAUAGUUUUUUUCAUGCCGACUCUAGUGACAUGAUUUGCACGCGGAAUUCUCAGCCUGGUCUUGAAAAUUAGUCUAAUCAGGAAGCAAUGAAACAAAUUUUGAAGAUGAUAGGGACAUUUGAGGGAAAGAAGUAAAGAUUUGAAUAUUUUGAGAUCAUUUAAAUCCCGAAUUGUAUGAAACUGGGCAGAUAGUUUGGGAAGUUAAUAGGACGACAAGGAUUUGGUAUAAGAGAGUGCAUCCUAGAAUUUUUGAAGCAAGCAACUUUGAGUUCAAGUGCAUCUCAGGUUACAAGAUAAAGCCAAGGGAGUUUGUCCCAAACUGACGGAGGGUAUUCAUUGUGAAGAAGAAAUCACCCAAUGAGAGUUCUGUACUUGACACGACACUAAAGAAAGAUGGAAGGCAUAUCUGGGAUAUAAAUACCGAUGCUACAAAAGAAAUGUUGUGCAUGAUCUUCAUUUUUCAUCCUCAAGUUGCAUGUGUCGUACUUGGCAUUUUCAGAGAUUGGGAGGCCCUCUUUCAACUACCCAAACACUUUAUACCCUUCGGUACCCUUUUGAGCCUGUGCUGAUCUCUUUGACUUUUCCUCUUUUGGAAUCAAGUUAAAGUCAUAAAAAAGAAAAAAAGAAAAAAAGAAGAAGAAGUUUGUAUCCCCAUAGGUUUGUUUCAUAAUCCCACGAAGUCAAGAGUGGGGCAAUUUUCGUAGAAAUUCCAUAUAAAAAAAAGGAAGAGGUUCAAAUUCUCUUGUUUUAUAAACCGGGGCAAAGUUUUAAAAUACAUUCCAAAAGUUAUAAAUAAAUUAUCCAUUUUAUCUUAGUUUGAAUUUGAGCCUUCAUGCCUUUCUUUCUUUCUUUCUAAUCCUGUCCAAAAGUCACAUUAAAGUCCAAAAAAGACCUCCCAUAUGAUCUUUGAGAGUGCCGAGUUAGACAUGCCAGGAGCAUAUGAUAUUUUUACCAUGGUUAAUGCUUUGUCAUCUGCAGAAUCAGAGGACAUAAGAAGAAAAGAAGAAAAUGAGAGAGUCUUAUAGGUGAAAACCCUCACGGGCACCAUAAGGAGACGGUGAGUUGAGAGAAAGAACAAAAUGAGAGAGGCUUGAUAGUAAAAACCCUUCAGGGCACUACAAGUCGACUGAGGAUCGUGAAUUAGAUAGGACAAUUGGAGCAUUGAAACCUAGUUUCACAGCUUAGAGGUAUGACAAGAAUGGAAGAUUAGACUUGCUUGACAGAUCAUGCCACUUAUUCCAAGAUGCACGUCAUGAUCAUUAGAGUUGGUGUUACAUCAGAAAACUUUCUACUUUGUAAUUCUUUUGUUAGAUGUCAUAUCUUUCCAUUGUCCCUUUACUUUGUUCUUCUUGCUUUGUUUAAGUCCUCUUUUUGAGUCUGCUCUGUCAGAACAAGUGAGAAAUGACUUCAAAAUUUGCUACCAGCUUUCCAAUUGCACAAAGCGAAGUGUGACUAGCACAUCAAAGUGGCAUAAGUCAGGGAAAAGUGGCAUUCGUACUGAGUUGAUAACAAUUGAAGUGCUUUGGGAUUCAUGUGAAAUGCAAAGGUUCGGUAAAUGUCAAUUCAUGGGUACAAUGCAACAGAUAGAGGAUUUGGGCUUGAACGGAUCAUAGGUAUUUUCUGUGAUAAGGGUGAUAGAGAAAGUGGUUAGCCAAUAACAAUCAAGGUCUUCCAAGUUGAAAUCAAAGUUAUCAUGGCAAGUGUAGGAGCAAUCACCCUCAAGAUCAAGGCCACAAAUCAACCACUAUGUUUUAAACUCACAAGUCUUCUUUGCUUGAAACAGGGACGAAGACUAUGUCCAAAUCAAAGAUUGGAAGUUGGAAUUUUUCAGGUAUCGUGCCCAAAUUUUGGGAGCACAAAGGUUGUUUGAGAAGGUUUUUACCUAGUUGAGAAGAUCAUACCUCCUAGGCAUUCUCCCUAGUUGGAAGAAUUUAUAGUUUUUCUUAAGUUCAGGGGUCCCGCCUGGAGAAUAGGGUCAAUUGUUAGUUUCCUUAAGUUUUAAUCUUUAGUUUUUUGAGUUCAGGGGUCCCGCCUGGAAAAUAUGGUCAAUUUUUAGUUUAGUCAAGCUCAGUUUAUAGUUUUCCUCAAGCUCAACCUCAAAUAUAGGAGAUGCACUUCCUAGUUUGGGUUUUUCAGAUUCUAUUUCUUUAGGAGGUGCACUUCCUAAUUUUAUGUUAAAGGCUUCACCCUUAGGAGACGCACUUCCUAGUGUGAGUCAUUUAAGUUCAUCCCUAGGAGACGCACUUCCUAGUUUGAGUAAUUUAAGUUCACCCCUAGUAGACUCACUUCCUAAUCUGGAUCUUUCAGGUUAUUCUUUUAGGAGACGUACUUCCUAGUUUGGGUCAUUCAGGUUUUAUUUUUAGCAGACGCAUUUGCAAGUCAAAUUUUCUUGGUUUUACUAAUAGGAGACGUACAUACUAGUCGAGUCUUUAGUUUUACUCUCAUCAUUGCAUCAAUAGCAUAGGUAUUUUACAGUUUUGCUAACAACUCACAAAUCUUCCUAGUGUAAACUGAGGCAGAAAAUUUUGUUUGUUGUGUUGUUUUAAUUGCAGGCACCCACUUGAAAAAUGAAGGGAAAUAUUUCAGAAAUCAAUUUUAGGUUCAAGUCAUUGGCAGGCGCCCACCUGGAGAACGAGGAAAUUUAUUUCAAUUUUAAAGUCAUCAGGCGCCCACCUGGAGAAUGAGGGAAUUUAUUUUAAGUUUUAAGUCAUCACGCGCCCACCUGGAGAACGAGGGAAUUUAUUUCAAGUUUUAAGUCAUCAGGCGCCCACCUGGAGAAUGAGGGAAUUUAUUUCAAGUUUUAAGUCAUCAAAAGCCCACCUGGAGAAUGAGGGAAUUUAUUUCAAGUUUUAAGUCAUCAGGCGCCCACCUAGAGAACGAGGGAAUUC
rnacentral:lncRNA from 1 species